AGCCUGAGAAAAGAUGGGGGUGUCCUAGAAUCUAGCCACAACCUCCAAGCUGAAAAACUACAACUCCCAUGAAGCUCUGGGCCUCAGACCCAUAGAAAAGGACCUGUCACCCUGGAGGAUUCUGGGACAUACUGUUUCAUCUCUUUCCCACAGCCCAGUGACAGCCUAUUAGGCUUCUGCCACCCACUGCCAUCUCUGGGUUGUGGACCUUUUGGAGAUGCCCAAAACCAGCUGCCAGUCCCCUCCUCCCUCAGAGCCCAGCAUAGAGUUCCCUCCUUUCACCUUGAAAUUGGAGGAGGCAUAUCUUCUGGGACCACACAGGAGCCAAGGGGAAGAGAGAAGUUUCCGGGCCCAGAUCUGGGUGGAGAAAGAAGAGGGGGGAGACCUUUGGUCCAGCCUGGAGAGCAGCUCAGACAAGAUGGCGAUGAUGAAGGCACACAGAAUACCUCUGUCUUCAACAGAGCCCAGGAGUGUCCCAUCAUGAGUUCAGGACUCUUCUAUGACACCUGAAUUGUGCCAUAAUGAGACUGGCCACCUCAGUCCCAAGUGUACCUGUCAAAGCCCAGGACUGUCCCACCAUAGCCCAGGAGUGUCACCACCAAAGGCCAGAUUGCCCACAUAUCCCAGAUAUCCCAGGACUAUCCCCAUCAGUGACUAGGAGCUGAAGAAAGUGAAACUUUGCCCUGACAUUCAUCAGCUGGGAUAAUAGACUCAAGUAAAGUUAGGUGCAAAGUUAACAAAGAGACCGUUCUCCCGAGUUACAGCGCAGCUGUGAAGGCUCCUAACCACCACCGCUUUCUUUAGCUGUUUCCUUCCUCACUGAGAAACAUUGUUCUCUGAAAUCACAGACUCUGGGAAACGCUGCUGCUGUUUGACAUCGCCCAGUCAGCAGGGAUCAUCUCAGCUGGCCUGCAGCAUUUAUAUGUCAUUUUAACCAUGAGACGCUGCCUCGAUUUCCAAUCCAGGUGCAGAGCUUCAAACAGGAGUUUGGGACAACAAUCCCCAUCUCAAUUUUAUUUACCUUUCUUUAGAAGAAAAUAGGACCUUGGAUCCAAUUCCCAGAGCUGAGACAUGAGGUGGAACUCUGCCCUCACCGGCCCCUGGCCCUGGAGGUCUGGGCCCCUUUAUUCCAGCGCCCCCACAGGCUGAUGCCCCACCGCACCCCAGGGCUCCACUCUCCAAAUCACAACUUCCCCACCCCGACGCCUCCCUCCUCACAGGAUCCCCCUCCAUGUUUCCCAUUUUUUACCUCCCCAACAAUUACUUGCCCCACCUCAUCCGCGUCUACCCGCUCCCCCUCACCCCAUUAAAGCCUCGUGCUCCUUUCCAA